ensembl:snRNA U6 U6 spliceosomal RNA
GUGCUCGCUUCGGCAGCACUUACACUAAAAUUGGAACGAUACAGAGAAGAUUAGCAAGGCACAUGCA